rnacentral:rRNA from 1 species
UACAGAGGUCUCAAGCGUUGUUCGGAUUCAUUUGGCGUAAAGGGUGCGUAGGUGGCGGGGUAAGUCAGGUGUGAAAUUUCGGAGCUUAACUCCGAAACUGCAUUUGAUACUGCCUUGCUUGAGGACUGGAGAGGAGACUGGAAUUCACGGUGUAGCAGUGAAAUGCGUAGAUAUCGUGAGGAAGACCAGUGGCGAAGGCGGGUCUCUGGACAGUUCCUGACACUGAGGCACGAAGGCCAGGGGAGCAAACAGG